CCAAAGUUUGAGAUGCCCCUUCAUGCUUCAGCCGCCAUUCCAGAGGACAUGCUUCCAUACUGAUGACACUCGUUGAAAAAAUAAUGCGUUAGUUAAAUUUCUGACUGAACGCCUUGGGGCAGAAAUGUAUGUCUCCUGCUUGGUUUUACCCACAUUCUGCCAUAUAUUUCAUGUUAUAGCAGUCUCGGAUGAUGACUCAGCACACGUUCAUUUUAACAACACUUUCACUGCAGAUUUGACAAAAUGCAAAGAAGGUACCA